rnacentral:rRNA from 1 species
UACGUAGGGUGCAAGCGUUAAUCGGAAUUACUGGGCGUAAAGCGUGCGCAGGCGGUUCGUUGUGUCGGUGGUGAAAUCCCCGGGCUUAACCUGGGAAUGGCCAUGGAAACUGGCGAACUGGAGUGGCGGCAGAGGGGGGGUGGGAAUUCCGCGUGUAGCAGUGAAAUGCGUAGAGAUCCGGAAGAACACCGGUGGCGAAGGCGGCCCGCUGGGCAGGAAGGGAGCGCAAGCUUCCGGCUGACGCUGAGGCGCGACAGCGUGGGAGCAAACAGGAU